CCUACGGGAGGCAGCAGUGAGGAAUAUUGGUCAAUGGUCGGGAGACUGAACCAGCCAAGCCGCGUGAGGGAGGAAGGUACAGAGUAUCGUAAACCUCUUUUGUCAGGGAACAAAGACUGGGACGCGUCCCCGGAUGAGUGUACCUGAAGAAAAAGCAUCGGCUAACUCCGUGCCAGCAGCCGCGGUAAUACGGGGGAUGCGAGAGUUAUCCGGAUUUAUUGGGUUUAAAGGGUGCGCAGGCGGUGUGUUAAGUCAGCGGUCAAAGCCCGGGGCUCAACCCCGGCCCGCCGUUGAAACUGGCAGUCUCGAGUUGGAGAGAAGGAUGCGGAAUGCGCGGUGUAGCGGUGAAAGGCAUAGAUAUCGCGCAGAACUCCGAUUGCGAAGGCAGCAUGCCGGCUCCACACUGACGCUGAGGCACGAAAGCGUGGGUAUCGAACAGGAUUAGAUACCCGGGUAGUC
rnacentral:rRNA from 1 species